rnacentral:lncRNA from 1 species
CCAUGAUGACAAAAUCAGGAUUGAAUCUUCCUCUCUUUCAUAAAUCAUCUAGAAAAUUGAAUGAAAUGAGAAAUGACUGCAUUCAAGUAUUGAACUGCAAAGAUGUGGAUAAUCAUAAUCCCUACCAGAAAGGAAAAGUGAGGUGCUUGAUUUUCCAGCAGGCAGCACUUGCACACUGGAUUUGAAAGAGCAAUAAGAGGUAUGAGGUCUUUUAGCUCUCUGGACAAAGGGAACAUGUGUUCAGAAGACCGAAGGUUCACCAGCUGUGUCCACUCCAAGGACAGCCAGCCCAGCCAGAUAGAAGUAAGAGUAACUACGGGCUUCCCUGGCAAUCCAGACGAGAAGACUCUAUGCUUCCACUGCAGGGGCGUGAGACUGACCCUUGGUUGGGGAACUGAGAUCUUGUACGCCAUGUGGUGCACCCAACAGAGAGAAAGAAGAGCAACCAGAGAAAGAUCUCCGGGGACUAACAGGGUUUGCUGUUAGGGCGCUGCUCUUCUGCAGGUUCUCCACCAACUCUGCAGCCACCUGGGACUCCUGCUUGGAUUUGCUCUUUUAUACGGUCUCCCUCAGUGGUUCUGACGGAUGAUUCUGCCUAAAGCAACCAAAAUGACUCUCCAGAAAGUAGCAACAGAACUGUUUUCUUAGCUCUGCUCAACUCACAUUGAUAUCCUUUGCUAACAUCACUUCCUGCCCCACCUCACAGUUCUCUCUUGAUAUUCCAUACAUAACUUGCCUAAAAAACAUUUUUGCUCUGUUUGUCAAAUAAUCUAGAAGCCAUAAAUUCAUAUUUACCUUUCAUAGGUGAAAGACUGGGGUAAAAGUUGAGCGUUUCCG